UACAGAGGUCCCAAGCGUUGUUCGGAUUCACUGGGCGUAAAGGGUGCGUAGGCGGUCGGGUAAGUCUGGCGUGAAAUCUCCAAGCCUAACUUGGAAACUGCGUUGGAUACUAUCCGGCUCGAGGAAUGGAGGGGAGACUGGAAUACUUGGUGUAGCAGUGAAUGCGUAGAUAUCAAGUGGAACACCAGUGGCGAAGGCGAGUCUCUGGACAUUUCCUGACGCUGAGGCACGAAAGCCAGGGGAGCAAACGGG
rnacentral:rRNA from 1 species